UCAUGCCAACACGUCGACUUUCUCUGCUACUACUGUUCAGGAAAUGCAGCACACAGAACGGCCGCUCCGGGCCGACAGCGUCCGGAUAUAAUGGUUCCGACGCAGUGGCUCUCUCCAAGCGGCGGGCUUCGCGAGCGGCUCUACGAACGCGGCACAAGUGCUCGGCGUGUCCGCUGACCUCCCGAGGCAUAAAUCACGCCACUGAGGCGCUGGGAAUUUUUGUUUUUCUUCAUUACGCGACGCCAUGAUGAAG
rnacentral:lncRNA from 1 species